GUCAAGAUGGUUGAGUGGUUUUAGGUGUUAGACUCAAUUUUUGGUCUUUGUGAGAGGGGUGUGGGUUCAAAUCCCACUUUUGACC
rnacentral:tRNA from 1 species